rnacentral:rRNA from 1 species
AGGGAAUUUUCCACAAUGGACGAAAGUCUGAUGGAGCAACGCCGCGUGAACGAUGAAGGUCUUCGGAUUGUAAAGUUCUGUUGUCAGGGACGAACAAGUACCGUUCGAACAGGGCGGUACCUUGACGGUACCUGACGAGAAAGCCACGGCUAACUACGUGCCAGCAGCCGCGGUAAUACGUAGGUGGCAAGCGUUGUCCGGAUUUAUUGGGCGUAAAGCGCGCGCAGGCGGCUAUGUAAGUCUGGUGUUAAAGCCCGGGGCUCAACCCCGGUUCGCAUCGGAAACUGCAGAGCUUGAGUGCAGAAGAGGAAAGCGGUAUUCCACGUGUAGCGGUGAAAUGCGUAGAGAUGUGGAGGAACACCAGUGGCGAAGGCGGCUUUCUGGUCCGUAACUGACGCUGAGGCGCGAAAGCGUGGGGAGCAAAC